rnacentral:rRNA from 1 species
UCGAGAAUCAUUCACAAUGGGGGAAACCCUGAUGGUGCGACGCCGCGUGGGGGAAGAAGGUCUUCGGAUUGUAAACCCCUGUCAUGUGGGAGCAAAGGAAACUGAUAGUACCACAAGAGGAAGAGACGGCUAACUCUGUGCCAGCAGCCGCGGUAAUACAGAGGUCUCAAGCGUUGUUCGGAAUCACUGGGCGUAAAGAGUACGUAGGCUGUUAUGUAAGUCAGGCGUGAAAGGCAGGGGCUCAACCUCUGGACUGCGCCUGAUACUGCGUGACUUGAGUAAUGGAGGGGGAACCGGAAUUCUCGGUGUAGCAGUGAAAUGCGUAGAUAUCGAGAGGAACACUCGUGGCGAAGGCGGGUUCCUGGACAUUAACUGACGCUGAGGUACGAAGGCUAGGGGAGCGAAAG